rnacentral:rRNA from 1 species
GUGCCAGCAGCCGCGGUAAGACAGAGGUCCCGAGCGUUAGGCGGAAUCACUGGGCUUAAAGCGUGUGUAGGCGGAGUGCUAAGUACCUUGUGAAAUCCCACGGCUCAACCGUGGAACUGCUCGGUAUACUGGUUCUCUUGAGCCACCUAGGGGCAACCGGAACAAACGGUGGAGCGGUGAAAUGCGUAGAUAUCGUUUGGAACGCCAAUGGUGAAAACAGGUUGCUGGGGGUGUGCUGACGCUGAGACACGGAAGCCAGGGGAGCAAACGGGAUUAGAUACCCCGGUAGUCC